CCUACGGGAGGCAGCAGUAAGGAAUAUUGGUCAAUGGAGGCAACUCUGAACCAGCCAUGCCGCGUGCAGGAAGAAGGCCCUAUGGGUCGUAAACUGCUUUUGUACCAGAGAAAACCCGAGUACGUGUACUCGGUUGAUAGUAUGGUAAGAAUAAGCAUCGGCUAACUUCGUGCCAGCAGCCGCGGUAAGACGAAGGAUGCAAGCGUUAUCCGGAUUCAUUGGGUUUAAAGGGUGCGUAGGCGGACUGAUAAGUCAGUGGUGAAAUCUCUCGGCUUAACCGAGAAACUGCCAUUGAUACUGUUAGUCUAGAGUAUAGAUGACGUUGGCGGAAUAUGACAUGUAGUGGUGAAAUACUUAGAUAUGUCAUAGAACACCGAUUGCGAAGGCAGCUAACGAAACUAUAACUGACGCUGAGGCACGAAAGUGCGGGGAUCAAACAGGAUUAGAUACCCUGGUAGUCCGCACCGUAAACGAUGAUUACUCGUUGUUGGCAAAUAUGACCCGUCAGCGACCGAACGACGAAAGACGAGAAGUAAAGUACCUAACCGUCGGGUAGGGUUACGGCCGGCCGAACCGGUUACGGUAAACGUUAACGAAACGUUAGAAGUUAGUUACGGCGNGAGACGAGCCGACGGACGACGACGAGGGAGGAGGAG
rnacentral:rRNA from 1 species